rnacentral:rRNA from 1 species
GAUGAACGCUAGCGGGAGGCCUAACACAUGCAAGCCGAGCGGUAUUGUUUCUUCGGAAAUGAGAGAGCGGCGUACGGGUGCGUAACACGUGUGCAACCUGCCUUUAUCUGGGGGAUAGCCUUUCGAAAGGAAGAUUAAUACUCCAUAAUAUAUUGAACGGCAUCGUUUAAUAUUGAAAGCUCCGGCGGAUAGAGAUGGGCACGCGCAAGAUUAGCUAGUUGGUGAGGUAACGGCUCACCAAGGCGAUGAUCUUUAGGGGGCCUGAGAGGGUGAUCCCCCACACUGGUACUGAGACACGGACCAGACUCCUACGGGAGGCAGCAGUGAGGAAUAUUGGUCAAUGGGUGCAAGCCUGAACCAGCCCUCCCGCGUGAAGGACGACUGCCCUAUGGGUUGUAAACUUCUUUUGUAUAGGGAUAAACCUACCCUCGAGAGGGUAGCUGAAGGUACUAUACGAAUAAGCACCGGCUAACUCCGUG